AACCACAGCCAAGGGAACGGGCUUGGCGGAAUCAGCGGGGAAAGAAGACCCUGUUGAGCUUGACCUCUAGUCUGGCACUGUG
ensembl:miRNA